rnacentral:rRNA from 1 species
UACGUAGGCAGCAAGCGUUGUUCGGAGUUACUGGGCGUAAAGGGUGCGUAGGCGGUCCUAUAAGUAUGGUGUGAAAUCUCCCGGCUUAACUGGGAGGGUGCGCUAUAGACUGUGGGACUAGAGUGUGGGAGAGGAAAGUGGAAUUCCUGGUGUAGCGGUGAAAUGCGUAGAUAUCAGGAGGAACACCGGUGGUGUAGACGGCUUUCUGGACCAUAACUGACGCUGAGGCACGAAAGCGUGGGUAGCAAACAGG